GACGAACGCUGGCGGCGUGCUUAACACAUGCAAGUCGAACGGAAAGGUCCUGCUUUUGUGGGGUGCUCGAGUGGCGAACGGGUGAGUAACACGUGAGUAACCUGCCCUUGACUUUGGGAUAACUUCAGGAAACUGGGGCUAAUACCGGAUAGGAGCUCCUGCUGCAUGGUGGGGGUUGGAAAGUUUCGGCGGUUGGGGAUGGACUCGCGGCUUAUCAGCUUGUUGGUGGGGUAGUGGCUUACCAAGGCUUUGACGGGUAGCCGGCCUGAGAGGGUGACCGGCCACAUUGGGACUGAGAUACGGCCCAGACUCCUACGGGAGGCAGCAGUGGGGAAUAUUGCACAAUGGGCGGAAGCCUGAUGCAGCAACGCCGCGUGCGGGAUGACGGCCUUCGGGUUGUAAACCGAUUUCGCCUGUGACGAAGCGUGAGUGACGGUAAUGGGUAAAGAAGCACCGGCUAACUACGUG
rnacentral:rRNA from 1 species